UAUGGUUAUGAUUCUACCAAAUAUGUCUUUUUGAUUCCGUCGAAAAUCUAUUUUACGGUAUAGGCGCUUAUGACCUUCCCCGCUAUGCCUUGCUGUAAUACUAAUGUCUGUUAGGCUACUGUUCUCCUAUUCUCUUGCAACAAGCGCAACCCUCGUCUUUAGUUGCCACUAUGAAUUUGGAACCCUGAACAGACCGCCGGUGUUAAGCCGGAGGGAGGAGAGGAUGAGGCCAAGCCAUCAUGCCCCUUAUGCCCUGGGCGGCACACGUGCAACAAUGGGCGGGACAAAGGGUCGCGAUCUCGCGAGGGUGAGCUAACUCAAAAAACUCAUCCUCAGUUCGGAUUGCAGGAUGCAACUCGCUUGCAUGAAGCAGGA
rnacentral:ncRNA from 1 species